AUGUACUGCAGUGUGAUGUACUGCAGUGUGAUGUACCGCAGUGUGAUGUACUGCAGUGUGAUGUACUGUAUGUGUGAUGUACUGCAGUGUGAUGUACUGCAGUGUGAUGUACCGCAGUGUGAUGUACUGCAGUGUGAUGUACUGUAUGUGUCACUGCAGUCUGAAUGGCAGCCAGUUGUUGGAAUUCAGAUCUCUAAGACAUCGGUGUCGAGUGCUGUCAGGGAAAAUGCAGAGCGGGCAUCUUAUACCUGCAGCCGCCGGAAACGAGCCUGCCUUCAGUGUGAGGAGAAAACCCACAGAAGGGAAUUCUUUGAGAGCAUGUAUAAAGGCCUGGUCUGGGAUGAGGACGUCAUAGAUGGAGGAGAAAGAAGCUUCAACCUCAAUAAAAGUCUGCUGAACCAUUUCAGAGAUCUGGCUUCCAGCAAUCAGGGAACUGACGAGGUGGACCUUCAGUACCUGAAUGAUGUGAUCGUAGAUGGAGCCGACCCCAACCCAACAGACAACAGUCUUUACCAGUGA
rnacentral:lncRNA from 1 species